GAUGAACGCUAGCGGCAGGCUUAAUACAUGCAAGUCGUGGGGCAGCAGGACUGUAGCAAUACAGUUUCUGGCGACCGGCAGACGGGUGCGGAACACGUACGCAACUUACCCUGAACUGGUGGAUAGCCCGGGGAAACCCGGAUUAAUACCCCGUAAUAUAAUUGAGUGGCAUCACUUUAUUAUUAAAGCUCCGGCGGUUCGGGAUGGGCGUGCGUCUGAUUAGUUAGUUGGUUGAGGUAACGGCUCACCAAGCCUACGAUCAGUAACUGGUGUGAGAGCACGACCAGUCAGACGGGCACUGAGAAACUGGCCCGACUCAUACGGGAGGCAGCAGUAAGGAAUAUUGGGCAAUGGAGUCAACUCUGACCCAGCCAUGCCGCGUGGAGGAUGAAGGCGAGCUGGGUUGUAAACUUCUUUUAUAGGGGACGAAACCUGUGUAUUCUUACGCAGUUGACGGUACCCUAGGAAUAAGCACCGGCUAACCACGUG
rnacentral:rRNA from 1 species